CUCCAGUUGGAUGCAUGUCCUUCUGGGAAAGAUUCAUCGGUAUGGGAUGGGGUCGCGCCCUAUCAGCUUGAUGGCGGGGUAACGGCCCACCAUGGCUUCGACGGGUAGCCGGCCUGAGAGGGCGACCGGCCACAUUGGGACUGAGAUACGGCCCAGACUCCUACGGGAGGCAGCAGUGGGGAAUAUUGCACAAUGGGCGCAAGCCUGAUGCAGCGACGCCGCGUGCGGGAUGACGGCCUUCGGGUUGUAAACCGCUUUUGACUGGGAGCAAGCCCUUCGGGGUGAGUGUACCUUUCGAAUAAGCACCGGCUAACUACGUGCCAGCAGCCGCGGUAAUACGUAGGGUGCAAGCGUUAUCCGGAAUUAUUGGGCGUAAAGGGCUCGUAGGCGGUUCGUCGCGUCCGGUGUGAAAGUCCAUCGCUUAACGGUGGAUCCGCGCCGGGUACGGGCG
rnacentral:rRNA from 1 species